ensembl:lncRNA
CAGGAGUGGGGGAGGAAGAGAAGCAACAUAGCACCUGUGGAAAAGAGACCUAGGUGGCCAGGAGGAGGGGCAAUUGCAUCAAACACUGUGCAGAAGGAAAUUGCUGUGCAGAAAAGAAUUGAGUCCUGGAGGCUUGCUUCCAUGAAGUUUGGAGCAGGAGCCUGGUGGGGAAGGGUCUCCACAGUCAAGGCAGGCAGAGAUAGUGGGGAGCUAGUAGAGGUGAAGGAAGGAAGAAGGAACAAAGUCUUCCCUCCACUAGCUGAGAGAGGUUGGCCUUGGACACACAGAGGCACUUCUAUGAUGCACCAGAAAGAGGAAAUGGGCAAAUACAGGUGGACAUGUAGGUACAGUAGGAAAGGGAGGCCCUUCUGUGAUAGCUUUCAGCUCCUGUGUUUUCAAAAUUGGAGAAGGCAAGAUCAUCUGUUGCGAAUGGGAGUAGAGAGCUUAUUGGAGGUGCGAACAGAAGAAAAUGUGGAAGAGUUGACUCAAGGUGAGGAAAGUCAGCUCCAUGGGCUUGAACCAGAAUGAGCUGCCUCCCCAUCUCGGCCACAGGGAACAUCUGUGCCCAGCUCAGGUUUCACCUCACCUCCACUGCAGCACCUUCCCUGAGGCAGUAACUUGCAGGGGAAACUGACACCUCCAGUUUUGAGUGCAUGCAUGGCCUGUUACCCUCCCAACUCACUGGUCAAACCUCCACACCAUGGAGACCAGUCUGCUGCAGUGUUUCAGCAGGCAGCCCUCUGUCUUUUCUCUAUCUCCAGCCUGGAUUUGAUGAUUUGAUCCCCCCCCCCGAAAAAAGAAAAGAAUGAAAGGAAAAAAACCUGGAUACAGAGGUUGCCAUGAUAUGAGCAGCUUUUUUCUGCCCAGACCUUUCCAUCAUGCCAUUUCUGCAUUGCAGCCAGCUGACUAUGGACUGAAUCUUCUAAAACCAUGAACUUAAAACUCCUCCUUUAAGUUGUGGUGUCAGGUAAUGUGUCUCAGCAAUGAGAAAAGUGACAAUGAUCCUCAAUGGAAAUAUGUAACACUCACUUAUGAAGUAUUCUGCCCUCUUCCCAAACUGAACUAAUUAGUUUCUAUCUCUUAGUUUGCAGGAAAUUCGAGGGACAGAAGGAUUCCAAGCAAACAGCAUAAUCACAAAUACGACAAACUUUACCAUAUGUAUGAAAUGAUUUCAAUAAAUAAAUUGCAAAGAAAGAAGUUUGGGGAGGGACAUUAUAGAUAAAAAUAUUUAAGAGACCUGUUGGACAAAUGCAUUGUUACGGUUUAUAUUUAGAUGACCCCCAAAGCCUCAUGCACUCAUAGGUGGGGGCUUUGGGGAGGUGAUUUGAUCAUGGGCGCGUGAUACUCACCAGUGGGUUAGUCUACUGGUGAGCUUAUGGGUAAAUGUGAUGUUGGGAGGUGGAGCAGGGUCGGAGGAGGUGGGUCACUGGAAGCAACAUGGCCUGGAAGGGUAUAUCUCCUGCCCUUCUCCUCCCUUCAAGCUCUGCUUCCCCACUGCCCUGCCAUCAGCAGCUUCUCCUGUGCCAUUGCCAUCUUGCCUUGGAGACACCUGACUAUGGACUGAAAUCUCUAAAAACUGUGAGCCAAAAAUAAACUCUUCCUCCUUUAAGUUUAAGUGUCAGGUGUUGGGUCUCAGUAAUAAGAAAGUGACUAAGACAUGUAUUGUGUGUACCUGGUUUGAACAUGGACUUACAUAAACCGGUACUAAAAAAAUAAUGUAUGAAGCCAGGCAUAUUGGACACAUCUGUAAUCUCAGCACUUUGGGAGGCUGAGGCAGGAGGAUUAUGAGUUCAAGUCCUACAUGUGAGAGUGUCUCAAUAUUUUAAAACAAAAAGGAGUGGAGAUGUAGUUCAGUGUGAAGGCCCUGGAUUCAAACACUAAUACCAAUUUUAAAAAUGAGACAAAUAGAAGAAUCUGAACUGGCUAUUUGAUGGCAACAAAGAGUUUAGUGAAUAUUCAUGUGGGAUGAUAGUUUUGUAAUUAAAUUUCUAGUAGAAAUGGUGAUUAUAAUCGUAUAUUUCAAAAUUAUUUAAAGAGUAAAUGUUAAAUGUCCUCAUCACAUAAGAUUUAUAAGUCUGUGAGGUGAUGUGUUAAUUAGCUUACUUUAAUCAUUCUACAAUGUAAAUAUGUAUCAAAACAUCAUAUCAUAUCCCAAAAUACAUAUUUGUCAAUUAAAAAUAAGAUCUUUCUGCUGGGUGUAGUGAUGCACACCUGUAAUCCCAGCACUUGGGAGGCUGAGGCCAGAGGAUUGCUGUAAGUUCAAGGCCAGCCUGGGCUACAUAGAGAGUUCAAGGCCAACCUGCACUACAAAAUAAGACCCUGUCUCAAAAAAAUCUUUCUAAAAAUGACUCUUGACUAGGAUGGAGGGAAAUAGGUGAAAAGAAAUCAGUGUAUAAUUGAAAUUGCUUGAUAGGCAAUCAGGGUUCAUUAUAAUAUGUUCUCUAUCUCCAUGUAUCUCUGAAACUCGUCCAUACGAGAAAGCUAAAUGAGAAAAGUAGGAAGGAGUAGGUCCUGGCUCAGUCCUUUCAUUUUUCUUUCCAUCCCGCACCUGAUGCUCCCGGAGUCAUUUUGUUUAUAUUUAUUGUUUUUCCACCAAGAUAUGAGCUCAAGAGGAAGGGAUGUAGCUGUUUUGCCACUGCUCUAUCUCCAGUGUCUGUGUGUUGAGUGCAUAAAGAAAGCCAGAGACUGACAACAGCACUUCCACCCCAAGUGAAUAAAGACAGCCACCAUCCAGGACAAUUCAUGUGAUCAUGUACAAUUAAACAAGCCCACCAUCCACCUCUUGGAGAACCACUCAAGGGGUUAUGGAGGCUUCCACCUAGAUUUCAAAAGAAGGCCUGGGAGGCCAGGCUAAAACAUGUGACAGGUCACAGUCCUUGUCAGGGGCCCAAAAGGGCAAUUCAUGAAGCUGUUAGAGUGAAGCUGAAGGGGCAUUGGAGAGCCCAGGAAGUUGAUGUCAAAAAUGUGGAGGAUCUUCUGAGAAAAUCUGCAGGUUGUGAGGAUAGCCAGCCCAAGAGUGAGGCCAGGUAGGCUGCAACCAGCAAGGUCAUCAGAAGGAGCCAUCCAAAUGCUUCGGAAAUCACAUGUCCCCACAGCUUGCCCAAGUUCUGGACAUGGAGCUAUGAGAUUUAAUGUUUGCCCUACAGGGUUUCAGUCUUGCUUUGGUUUGCUUUCUUUCUCUUCUCCCAUUCCUCCCUUUUUAAAUGAGAAUGUUUACCCUGUGCCAUUGUAUGUUGGAAAUUUUUAACUUUCUCCUUUUUUUACAGGAGCUUACAGCUAAGAGUUUGCCUUGAAUCUCAGAGGAGACUGGACUUGUCAACAGUGCUGACUUUGACAAUCCUUAGAGAUGGACUAAAUGAAUUUUUGCAUAAUGAGAUGGACAUUACCCUUUUGGGGGCCAGGGUCCAGAAAGCUAUGGUUUAGAUCUAAAAAGUCCCCCCAACAUCUCAGGUACUCAGGUGUAAGGCUUUUGGAAGGUGAUUGCUCAGUCAUAGGGGCACUACAUUUAUCAGUGGACUAAUGCAUCGAUGAGCUCAUGACUGAAUUUGCUGUUAGGAGGGGAGCCUGGUUGGAGGUAGGUCACUGGGGGCAAGACCUGGAAAGGUAUAUUAUUGUCCCCAGCUCUUUCCUUCUGUCUCUGCUUCCUGGCAGCCACAGAUUGAGCAGCUUUCCUCUGCCAUUCCUUUCCACCAUGCUGUCUCUGCCUUGGAGCCAGCCAACCAUGAACUGAACCCACUAGAAAUUGUGAAAUAAAACUUUCCCCUUUAACGUCUAUCCAGGUGUCAGGUAUUUUUGUCCCAGUGAUAUGAAAGCGACUAAUACACCCACACACCACAUCCACAAAUGUAAAAGAAGAGGAGAGGCUUAGCAACUAUUUAAAACACAAACUUGGUGGUGUAUCCCAGGACUUGGAAUCCCAGCACUUGGGAAGCUGAGGGAUGAAGAAUGCUGUGAGUCUGGGGCCAGCCUGGGCUACAGAGUGAGUUCAAGUCCAGCCUGAACUACAUAGCAAGACCUUGUCUCAAAAAAACCAAAAACAACCAAAGCAAGAUCCUGUUUCAAAAAAAUAAUAAUAAUAAUAAAACACCCUCUUGGGGAACUGUGGGCUAGAAUGUGGCUAUUGGUGGCCUAAUGAAUAUUAAUUUUCCAUUACUUCACAAAUAGAAUCUCAGUUUUGCACAGCAUGGUACUUUACACGUGUAGUUGGAAAACAACAUUUUCCCAGGUCCCCUUGGAACUAGAGCUGGUCCUCUAAAACACUUUAGGCCAACAUAAUGUAAAAAAGUCACAAAGCCUACUUCUGAAAAAGUUUCUUAACAUGUGGUUGAUUGAGCAAAUCUUCCCCCAUUCUACCUGGAAUGUGGAUGUGAUUCUGUCAAUGGGGCAUUCUUCUUGCAAUCAGGAAGCAUCAUCAUCAUCAUCGUCAUCAUUAUCAUCAUAUAAAGGGGGACUCUAGAAACCUGGUAGCAUUAGAGGACCCUAGAUAGCCAACUUCUGGACUUCCUUGUUCUGAGGGGAGGGACUAUAUUAGGUUACGGCACAGUAAUAAAGUUUCUGUUGCACUGAAGUUGAUGCCAAUUCUGACAGUAAUAUGUUACUGUAAUAGUUUGUUUGGUUUUGUGUGGGGUUUUUUUUGGUACUGGGGAUCGAACUCAGGUCCUUGCGCUUGCGCAGCAGAUGGUGAAACCACUGAGCUAAAUCCCCAGCCCUGUUACUGUAAUAGUUAAACUGGUAAAAAGAACAGUGUGAGCACAACCUUAGAAAGGUUAGCAGUCUAACAAUGCACCAAAUUGCAGACGUACCCCUUAGAGCCCAGACUUUGGCCACCAUUCUCUUGUUCAGCCAGUCAGCAAAUCUGAAGGGGCUGAGUCCAUAGCUACACCACAGAAAAACAUGGGACCCCUAAAACACUCUGUCAUCAAAAACUGAGGUAGGUUGAAAGAUGGUAGGGACUGUGCUAAGAGGCAAGAGUAACCAAUGUUACAGGCUCUAAUUCAGUGUGACUAUUCAGGCAUUUAAUAAUUAUAAUACCAUGAACCAAGAGACUCAUGUAAAG